AUAACCAUUUUCCAAAUUCUUGCGGAGGCGUAUCUUGUAAUGCAAACCUCCAACUUUCUGGUAAUUUGUCCCAUAAUUUGUCUUGAAAAAAAUCCUGUAUUUAAAAAAGACAGUCUAUACAGUUUAAUAAAAUUUCUACUUAACAAUAUACUUUACAAUGGACAAUACACAUCUACAUCGAAUUACUAUACAUCAGAAAAAAAUACAACAUGGUAUUCGAAUACAACAUGCUGGUGAAUAACAUCCAUAAAAGAUAUAUCUUUAUACAAUUGGAAAUCACUGACCAUUCAAUUCUUUGCUCAUCUCGUUCGAUUCUCUUGGUCGUUGUUUGGACCUCUUACGCCAACAUAAGUGAAAGUUUUCAAGUAGGACGAGCGAAACGUCGAAUCCCGUUGAUGCGUGGAUAUUUGCUAAAUGCUUAUCCCGGUGGUUACCUGGUCCAUCGAAAUCGUUAAAUGUCAAUGUACUCUGACAGUAUUUCUCGCCUAAUUUCAAAAAAUUCACUGGACAAACCGUCGAAUGAUUGUUAAAUAUUAAAGUUCAAAAGUGAAUAUUGAGAAGGAUUAAAAAGUCUACGAGGAAUUGUUUCAAACAAAUCCAUCUUACAAAUCGUAAGAUAGAUCAAUCUGGAAUUCACGUUACGCAAGUAUGAGAACUUUACAUCAUCAGAGCUUUUGCAACUAAGGGUUUUACCAGGUCAUCCUUAUUUAACUAACAUUCUAGAUUUCUACCUUUCACAGCAACUGAACAUGAUUUACGGAAAAGAAUGCACGCGAUGUUUUCACAUCACAGUAUAAAAUUGUUGGAAAAUUUCUGAUUGUCUCUAUUAAGAAAAGAAGAAACACGUAAUCGUAGCUAAUCUAAAACAAGAUAUAUAGAAAUUAAAAAAAUAUCUAGCAGUCAAAUAGAUUUAAUUAAAUUUAAUAAUAGAUAUAUUCAUUUUAAUUUAUUCCUAAUUGAAGUCAAAAUAUUGAAAAAUUAAAUAAAAUUUAAAUAUAAAUAAUAAUAAUAAACUAUCAUUAUUACGCAAGAAAUAAUAGUAAAAUUAGUUGAUCUAAGAAUCAGAGAAUCGUUAUAUAUAUAUGAUAAAAGCGAUGGAGAACUCGCUUAUCGUCGAACUCGUGAAAGAAAGGUCGUUACACAGACACAGGAAAUGAUCUGUUUGUAAGAAAUCGCUCGGAAUUGCUUUAAACUUUUAGCGAAAGUAAUAAUAAGAGUAUGUAAACGUGUACAUGUGCGCAUGUACACAUAUAUCAAGGCAGUAGUCUUUCACCAAAUAAUUCGGUGAAUACCAUGCCAGCCUCGGACACGGCCUUCUCCUAGAGGAAAGGUAGACGGAUUUAAAGAAAGUUGGAGACCACUUCGCCCGCUUCCCUUUCCCUGACGUCUCUGCGUGUUCGAACCUUUUUUUUUUUUAUUUCUUUUUUUUUCCUCUCGUCUUGAACCAUGUCUGUAUGCCUUGCACGCAAACGGUUGAAACGCUGUCUUACACUAGUCGCACAGAGUGUAUGUAGCCACCGGAGCCAGAGAAAGGUGCCCCACCGUAUUCGAUAUUAGAGAGGAGCUUCUUGAACUGUCCAGUGGUGGUGGCAUCAG